UACGGGAGGCAGCAGUGGGGAAUAUUGCACAAUGGGCGCAAGCCUGAUGCAGCCAUGCCGCGUGUAUGAAGAAGGCCUUCGGGUUGUAAAGUACUUUCAGCGGGGAGGAAGGCGGUGAAGUUAAUAGCUUCACCGAUUGACGUUACCCGCAGAAGAAGCACCGGCUAACUCCGUGCCAGCAGCCGCGGUAAUACGGAGGGUGCAAGCGUUAAUCGGAAUUACUGGGCGUAAAGCGCACGCAGGCGGUCUGUCAAGUCGGAUGUGAAAUCCCCGGGCUUAACCUGGGAACUGCAUUCGAAACUGGCAGGCUAGAGUCUUGUAGAGGGGGUAGAAUUCCAGGUGUAGCGGUGAAAUGCGUAGAGAUCUGGAGGAAUACCGGUGGCGAAGGCGGCCCCUGGGACAAAGACUGACGCUCAGGUGCGAAAGCGUGGGGAGCGAAACAGGGAUUAGAUACC
rnacentral:rRNA from 1 species